UACGUAGGGUGCGAGCGUUGUCCGGAAUUAUUGGGCGUAAAGAGCUCGUAGGCGGUCUGUCGCGUCGAUCGUGAAAACUUGGGGCUUAACCCUGAGCUUGCGGUCGAUACGGGCGUGACUGGAGUUCGGCAGGGGAGACUGGAAUUCCGUGGUGUAGCAGUGAAAUGCGUAGAGAUGUGGAGGAACACCGAUGGCGAAGGCAGCCUCCUGGGCCAACACUGACGCUCAUGCACGAAAGCGUGGGGAGCAAACAGG
rnacentral:rRNA from 1 species